UGGUAAGCGGGAACGCCAACCUGGUACCUCACAGGCAAGAAGGAAUCAGUGAAGGACGGGGUUCUGAAGAUCCUCUCCCGCUUUAGGUGUCUAGCCAUUGAUGAAGUUGGAAGCUUUGUAGGUGCCGGAGAUGUGGGUGCAGCGCCCCCUGCUGGCAGUCUCGCUGUACUUCUCUUCAGGGAGGUCCUGGUCAUACCGACACCAGCCAGCAGAGUGCUGCCCGGCUGACACAAAGAUUUUUAAAGAGGCCCAAGGGAUUACAGAGCAAUUUAGAAAAGUGUCAGAGGACAAGGGACUGCGGUGUUAGAACAGGAUUCAGACUCCACUUCUAGGAAGGCACCGACAUCACAGCUCUCAAAUACCCACAGGGAUGUGAAACAAGAUUCACAAAGGAUAGAACUCACCCAUCUCUCUUGGAUGCCUCGUCCAGAUCAAGGAUGUGGAAAGGGUCAGAGAGAUAGGAGGCAGUCAUGUGAAGAGCCAUCAUUGUACCCCUUCUCCUCCUCACAAGGGAAGAUGGGCAAAGGUUGUGUGUCCUUCAUCUCAGCCUGUGCAGAGAGCUUAUAUCACCCCUUGGAGAGCUUUAAAAUAGUUUCAGCAAAGUAGAGGAACAGCAAACAACAGACCCCAGAGGCAUUCCUGAGACACCAGAGUGACAGCCGCAUAGAGGUUGAAGACAUCAAUCUCAUCGGCCUGUUUUCUGGGGUUUCUAGAGUUGUGUGUGCUCUGUGAACCAAACAUGGCCACUCAGAAGAGAGAGCUGGUGAGCAGCCAGACUGGGCCUGUGGUAGUCUGAAUUGUAAUUGGUUCCCAUAGGCUCAUAGGGAGCGGCACUAUUAGGAGGUGUGGCCUUGUUGGAGUAGGUGUGGCCUUGUUGGAGGAAGUGUGUCACCCCGGGGCGGGCUUUGAGGUUUCAGAUGCUCAAGCUAGGCCCAGUGUGUUGUUCUCUCUUCCUGCUGCCUGCUGAUCUGUAUAUAGGGACCUCUCAGCUACCUCGCCAGCACGAUGUCUGCCGGUGUCCCGCCAUGCUUCCUACCAUGAUGACAACGGACUAAACUUCUGAACAAAUUUUGGAUGAGAACCAAAGCCUAUUCAGAGGCAGGGGAGGAAGAGAUGAAAAGGGCCUGCCCCCAUCCAGAACAAAGAGAGAAUGCAUCUGCAACGGAAGAAUUGCACAUGCUCAGUGCAAAGGUUAAUUUGACUCUGCAAUGGGCGAGCAUGGGGACACAAGAAAAACCUUCACAAUUUCCCCUCCUUUUUUAUUUGUAUUAGUUGAAUGAGGACAUUAAAUUCAGCUGUGUUUAUUUCUACUUA